AUUGAACGCUGGCGGCAGGCCUAACACAUGCAAGUCGAGCGAGCGGCGGACGGGUGAGUAAUGGAUGGGGACUGCCCGAUAGAGGGGGAUAACUAGUGGAAACGGUGGCUAAUAACGCAUACUAUCGGAUAACCCAUAUGGGAGUAGCUAGUAGGUGGGGUAAAGGCGCACCUAGGCGACGAUCUCUAGCUGGUCUGAGAGGAUGAUCAGCCACACUGGGACUGAGACACGGCCCAGACUCCUACGGAGGCAGCAGUGGGGAAUAUUGCGCAAUGGGCGCAAGCCUGAUGGAGCCAUGCCGCGUGUAUGAAGAAGGCCUUAGGGUUGUAAAGCUCUUUUAGCGGGGAAGCGUUACCUGCAGAAGAAGCACCGGCUAACUCCGUGCCAGCAGCCGCGGUAAUUC
rnacentral:rRNA from 1 species